UCCUUAGUGGUGUAGAGGUAACAUCCGAGUCUCUCACACUCGUGCCCGGGGUUCGAUUCCCCGCUAGGGAG
rfam:Trichophyton equinum CBS 127.97 supercont1.8 genomic scaffold, whole genome shotgun sequence.